GGCCGGGAGCGGCUGCAGGCUGCUGGACGGAGGGCUGAAGCGCCGAGUCGCGCUCGCAUCUACAGGAAUGCGCAUCACAAACACGCUCAGUUACACUCGAGCUGUGUCUUGCAGCUGGAACUUCCUCCUCCUGUCCUGGACACAAAAACGGCUCCUCUGGUUUAGAUUUGCCUCUAAUCAGCAAAGUCCCAUGGAAUAGAACAGCAAAGGUUGUUUUACAGUAAUAGUGCACUUGCCAGACCCUUUCAGUACCAUAAUGAUGUCUUAUUUAUAAGUCACAUCAGGAACAAACCACACUGAUCAUUUAUUAUUUGCUAGCAUACCCAUAACAACUCCUUUUUUGCAUAUCUAACUGAACAAACUGUUCAACAGAGUAUCGGGAGACAUCUCAGGUCCCGGGAAUCAUUGAAAAAAUAAACUGAAAUAAAGAAUCCCACAGGAAAAUAAUGGAACAGUCUGAAUGUGUGUACAGGAAGGAAAUUGUCCACACUAUUACUUCCUGUUUAACAUCCUUGGAUUAUAAACGAAUAAAA